GGGCGUGUAGCGCAGUUGGUAGCCGCGUCUGCCUUGCAAGCAGAAGGUCACUGGUUCAAAUCCUGUCUCGUCCA
rnacentral:tRNA from 1 species